GGGCAGGUACCGAAGUAGUCAAACGGGGCAGACUGUAAAUCUGCUGGCUCACGCCUUCCAAGGUGCAAAUCCUUGCCUGCCCA
rnacentral:tRNA from 2 species